AUACGGAGGAUGCGAGCGUUAUCCGGAUUUAUUGGGUUUAAAGGGUGCGUAGGCUGUGCGUUAAGUCAGGGGUGAAAUGCCGUCGCUCAACGACGGAGCUGCCCUUGAUACUGGCGUGCUGGAGUACGGAUGCCGUUGGAGGAAUGAGUGGUGUAGCGGUGAAAUGCUUAGAUAUCACUCAGAACACCGAUUGCGAAGGCAUCUGACGAAUCCGUCACUGACGCUGAGGCACGAAAGCGUGGGGAUAGAACAGGAUUAGAUACCUUGGUAUUCCACGCCGUAAACGAUGAUGACUAACCGUCGGCGAUAGACAGCCGGUGGCCAAGCGAAAGCGAUAAGUCAUCCACCUGGGGAGUACGUCGGCAACGAUGAAACUCAAAUGAAUUGACGGGG
rnacentral:rRNA from 1 species